GAUGAACGCUGGCGGCGUGCCUAAUACAUGCAAGUCGAGCGAACGGACGAGAAGCUUGCUUCUCUGAUGUUAGCGGCGGACGGGUGAGUAACACGUGGAUAACCUACCUAUAAGACUGGGAUAACUUCGGGAAACCGGAGCUAAUACCGGAUGAUAUUUUGAACCGCAUGGUUCAAAAGUGAAAGACGGUCUUGCUGUCACUUAUAGAUGGAUCCGCGCUGCAUUAGCUAGUUGGUAAGGUAACGGCUUACCAAGGCAACGAUGCAUAGCCGACCUGAGAGGGUGAUCGGCCACACUGGAACUGAGACACGGUCCAGACUCCUACGGGAGGCAGCAGUAGGGAAUCUUCCGCAAUGGGCGAAAGCCUGACGGAGCAACGCCGCCUGAGUGAUGAAGGUCUUCGGAUCGUAAAACUCUGUUAUUAGGGAAGAACAUAUGUGUAAGUAACUGUGCACAUCUUGACGGUACCUAAUCAGAAAGCCACGGCUAACUACGUG
rnacentral:rRNA from 1 species